rfam:Helicobacter hepaticus ATCC 51449, complete genome.
GCGGGAAUGGCGAAAUUGGCAGACGCACCAGACUUAGGAUCUGGCGCCGCAAGGCGUGGAGGUUCAAGUCCUCUUUCCCGCA